GACGAACGCUGGCGGCGUGCUUAACGCAUGCAAGUCGAACGGAAAGGCCCUGCUUUUGUGGGGUGCUCGAGUGGCGAACGGGUGAGUAACACGUGAGUAACCUGCCCUUGACUUUGGGAUAACUUCAGGAAACUGGGGCUAAUACCGGAUAGGAGCUCCUGCUGCAUGGUGGGGGUUGGAAAGUUUCGGCGGUUGGGGAUGGACUCGCGGCUUAUCAGCUUGUUGGUGGGGUAGUGGCUUACCAAGGCUUUGACGGGUAGCCGGCCUGAGAGGGUGACCGGCCACAUUGGGACUGAGAUACGGCCCAGACUCCUACGGGAGGCAGCAGUGGGGAAUAUUGCACAAUGGGCGGAAGCCUGAUGCAGCAACGCCGCGUGCGGGAUGGCGGCCUUCGGGUUGUAAACCGCUUUCGCCUGUGACGAAGCGUGAGUGACGGUAAUGGGUAAAGAAGCACCGGCUAACUACGUGCCAGCAGCCGCGGUGAUACGUAGGGUGCGAGCGUUGUCCGGAUUUAUUGGGCGUAAAGGGCUCGUAGGUGGUUGAUCGCGUCGGAAGUGUAAUCUUGGGGCUUAACCCUGAGCGUGCUUUCGAUACGGGUUGACUUGAGGAAGGUAGGGGAGAAUGGAAUUCCUGGUGGAGCGGUGGAAUGCGCAGAUAUCAGGAGGAACACCAGUGGCGAAGGCGGUUCUCUGGGCCUUUCCUGACGCUGAGGAGCGAAAGCGUGGGGAGCGAACAGGCUUAGAUACCCUGGUAGUCCACGCUGUAAACGGUGGGUACUGGGUGUGGGGUCCAUUCCACGGGUUCCGUGCCGUAGCUAACGCUUUAAGUACCCCGCCUGGGGAGUACGGCCGCAAGGCUAAAACUCAAAGGAAUUGACGGGGCCCCGCACAAGCGGCGGAGCAUGCGGAUUAAUUCGAUGCAACGCGUAGAACCUUACCUGGGUUUGACAUGGAUCGGGAGCGCUCAGAGAUGGGUGUGCCUCUUUUGGGGUCGGUUCACAGGUGGUGCAUGGCUGUCGUCAGCUCGUGUCGUGAGAUGUUGGGUUAAGUCCCGCAACGAGCGCAACCCUUGUUCACUGUUGCCAGCACGUUAUGGUGGGGACUCAGUGGAGACCGCCGGGGUCAACUCGGAGGAAGGUGGGGAUGACGUCAAGUCAUCAUGCCCCUUAUGUCCAGGGCUUCACGCAUGCUACAAUGGCUGGUACAGAGAGUGGCGAGCCUGUGAGGGUGAGCGAAUCUCGGAAAGCCGGUCUCAGUUCGGAUUGGGGUCUGCAACUCGACCUCAUGAAGUCGGAGUCGCUAGUAAUCGCAGAUCAGCAACGCUGCGGUGAAUACGUUCCCGGG
rnacentral:rRNA from 1 species